AACAUCCUGCCUGGUACGACAGGUUUUACAAAAUGCGUCAACUACGUUUCGUAAAAGGGGAUUGCGUCCAAAUGCCGAUUUCAGGUUACUACGGCUACCGCGUGUAGUCAAAAAACGCUUGUGCGUUUCGGUAAAAGGUUGAUAGUAUUUGGCAGAUUACCCACCUGUUUUGUCAGGUUGAACCAUCGUAAAACACGGCCAAGGUGGGAUUUUU
rnacentral:other from 1 species